GUUGUUCAAUCUGGUCACCUGGCUUCCUAUUCUGUUUGAAAAGUCAAAGCCUGUGUGCUGCUGUCUGUGAGGACAUGCGUAAGAUGGCAGAGUCCCUGUCAUGUGGGACGAACUGGAUUGAAACCAAAUCUAUGAUGGAAAUGGAGAAACUCUGCUUGGAAAAGCUAAAAUUCCAGCUGGAGGGAAGGCAAGAUCUUUAGCCUGGAAAGAGAUGUGCUAACUUCCUUGUUAGGUCUGCAAGAAG
rnacentral:lncRNA from 1 species